AUACCCUCAAUCAUUCACCAAUUGUAAUUUUUUUUUGCUUGAUCAUGAACCUGUUGUAGUAGGGCAUACUUCAAGCAUUAUCAAGGUACCCUCAAUCAUUCACCAAUUGUAAACAUUUUUUGCUCGAUCAUGCACCUGUUGUAGUCGGGCAUACUUCAAGCAAUAUCAAGUUACUGAUGAUUUGACCAGUGGUCAAUACAUGCAUGAUCUGAAGGACCAAAUUUGUAGUUUAAGUUGGCGACGAUCUGCUGAUAGGUUUUGGUUAAUAAUCCAGAACCGUGCAUGCCUCGUUGUCUUUAAAUUUCUUUAUCUAGUAUAUGCUUAUCUUAAAAUUUAAGUUCUUUAUAUAUGUAGUAGUUUUUUUUUUUCUUCUACUGAUUUAUUUUUGUCCAUUUGUAUGUUCCUAAAAGAUUGUAUGGCAUUAUAAUUAAGGUUUUCAAGUUGCUAUUGUUGU